GCCACUCAGAGCUGCCCCAGCAAGGUCCUGAGGGCUGCACAUGGCCGUGUCUGGGGCAUCAGAGCACGGACGAGUCUCCCAGUCGCUUCUGGAAGCCCUUCCCGUGCUUGGCCCCGGCACCUCCACAGGAAUCCUCCUUUCCCCGCUGGCUGCUCUAUCUCUGGCUUUGUCCCCUCCCCAGCUCUUCCUUGCUGCCUCUGUGUCCACCCUGACCCCUUACGAUUUCCUGCCACCUCCAGGCUGGAAAUCCUCUUGGGCCGAGGGGUUCCAUGCGCAUCUCGGCCAGGGCGCUCCUCACAUCCCUGGACCUGCAUCCCGCUGCCCGUCGGCCACACACUUGAGGCCUCGCAGCAAGUCACCCCUGGCAGUUCUGACCGCCCCCUUCAGACAGUCUCUUUCUCAGCCUCCCCUUCUAGAAGACGUCCCCCGAUCACCACCACCUCUGCCCAUCCAGCCCACCAGCAAAAUCUGCCACCUCACCCUGCCUUGUUGGCCACCACACCCCACACAGCCACCCCAUCUUCCUCCUCUGCUUUUCCCGCGCCCCAUCACACUCCUCUCUCAACGAGCGCCGGUGGCCCUGAGAGGCUGCUGAGGUGGUCCUCACCCUCCUGUUCUCAGCCCUGCAGGUGCCCCACAGGACACUCAGGGUGCAGCUCCCUCCUCUGUGCACUCCAGUGCCUGCCCACCUGCACCCCUGGCCUGGGGCAUUUGGGCCCGCUGGGCAGGAGGCUGGCUUCCUCCCUGCCUCUGCGUCCUUACCCGGACCCCAGGCAUCCCCAGCAGUGGCCCCACCUUUCCCCUUUACUGCUCUUCCAGUCACCACCCCUGUGUUUGUUACUAUGUCCCCCAUGUCCCCCAUCCCCUACUAUUCGCUCCUGGAGGGCAGGGAUUUCUGUCUGUUCUGCUCGUCAUAGCAUCCACAUCACGUCCGGCCACAGAACGUGCGACACAAACCCUUGGCAAAUGGAGCAGCAAAUGGACCAAGAAAGGGGGGGCCUCAUCUCCCUGCUGUGGCAGCUCCGUCCCCGGGGCAGGCAAGGGCCUGCACUCUGCAGACAGGACCCUGCUGGGAGGUCUCUGUGGAGACUUUGGGAGCACGGUGCAGAGCCAUGGGGAGGGCUGCCUCCUGCCCGGUCCUGGUCCUCCCAAGAGGACUCAGCCUAUGCGCACAAGGAGCAGGGGGAGCCAUGGACCCCGAGAACCCCCUUUCCCUCUGCCCAGCUUGCACUCUCCUAA
rnacentral:lncRNA from 1 species